rnacentral:rRNA from 1 species
CCUACGUGAGGCAGCAGUGGGGAAUAUUGGGCAAUGGAGGCAACUCUUACCCAGCAAUGCCGCGUGAAUGAAGAAGGUCUUCGGAUUGUAAAGUUCUUUAAUUGGGGACGAAAAAAAUAACGGUCCCAAAGGAAUAAGCCCCGCCAACCAAGGGGCCAGCAGCCGCGGUAAUACGUAGGGGGCAAGCGUUGUUCGGAAUGACUGGGGGUAAAGGGUGUGUAGGCGGUGUAGCAAGUGAGAAGUGAAAUGUCGGGGCUCAACCCCAAAACUGCCUCUAAUACUGUUGGACUAGAGAAUAGUUGCGGUAGGCGGAAUGUAUGGUGUAGCGGUGAAAUGCUUAGAGAUCAUACAGAACACCGAUUGCGAAGGCAGCUUACCAAACUAUAUCUGACGUUGAGGCACGAAAGCGUGGGUAGCAAACAGGAUUAGAUACCCUUGUAGUC